rnacentral:rRNA from 1 species
UACGUAGGGGGCUAGCGCUAUCCGGAAUUACUGGGCGUAAAGGGUGCGUAGGCGGUCUUUCAAGCCAGAAGUGAAAGGCUACGGCUCAACCGUAGUAAGCUUUUGGAACUGUAAGACUUGAGUGCAGGAGAGGAGAGUGGAAUUCCUAGUGUAGCGGUGAAAUGCGUAGAUAUUAGGAGGAACACCAGUAGCGAAGGCGGCUUCCUGGUCUGUAACUGACACUGAGGCGCGAAAGCGUGGGGAGCAAACAGGAUUAGAUACCCUGGUAGUCCCU